rnacentral:rRNA from 1 species
UACGGAGGAUGCAAGCGUUAUCCGGAAUGAUUGGGCGUAAAGCGUCCGCAGGUGGCUGUGUAAGUCUGCUGUUAAAUAGUGAGGCUCAACCUCAUAAAGACAGUGGAAACUACACGGCUAGAGUGCGUUCGGGGCAGAGGGAAUUCCUGGUGUAGCGGUGAAAUGCGUAGAGAUCAGGAAGAACACCGGUGGCGAAAGCGCUCUGCUAGGCCGCAACUGACACUGAGGGACGAAAGCUAGGGGAGCGAAUGGG